rnacentral:rRNA from 1 species
CAGAGGGUGCAAGCGUUGCUCGGAAUCAUUGGGCGUAAAGGGUAGGUAGGUGGUCUCGUUUGUCUGGGGUGGAAGCCCAGGGCUUAACCCUGGAAGUGCCCCAGAAACGGCGAGACUAGAGUCUUGGAGAGGGUCGUGGAAUUCCCGGUGUAGCGGUGAAAUGCGUAGAGAUCGGGAGGAACACCAGAGGCGAAGGCGGCGACCUGGACAAGUACUGACACUCAACUACGAAAGCGUGGGGAGCAAACAGGAUUAGAUACCCUGGUAGUCCACGCUGUAAACGAUGGGUACUAGGUUUGAUGGGUCUUGACCCCCGUCGAACCGGCGCUAACGCAAUAAGUACCCCGCCUGGGAAGUACGGUCGCAAGACUA